AGCUAAUCAGGCCUAUAAUUCUAAUAGACAAAAUUGUUUUCUUGUCCCAGAUUUUAUGAACUAGAUUCAUGACAUUACCAUGUAUCUAACAAGCUAAAACACUAGCUCAUUCUUGCAGUAGGAUGCAGUGACCUAGUAUGUUUUGAGGAAAGAAGGAUCCCAAUUGACCUGUUGAGGAAGUCUUCAGAGAAUUUACAAGUUGCUUCACACCUUGAACUUCACGCUUAACAAUUUCUUUGAAAUUGGAUGUGCUGCAUAAAUCAGUGUAUUUAUUUUGUUUUGAAGCAAAGGCCAAGUGUGUUAGGGGGAGGUAAGGUUGUCUAGCACUUUAAUGUAGUAGCUUUGAUAAACUGGAAAUCAUUUGGAUGUAAAGUGCAGUGUUUCUAAGAAUUGAAUGGACUUUCUUUUAUAAUAUAUUUAAAAUAAAUUUUUAUUGUGUCUUUUCUGAUGA